rnacentral:rRNA from 1 species
GACGAACCGUGCGAACGUUGUUCGGAAUCACUGGGCUUAAAGGGCGCGUAGGCGGGCGGUCAAGUCAGAGGUGAAAUCCUGCAGCUCAACUGCAGAAGUGCCCCCUGAUACUGAUCGUCUCGAGGGAGGUAGGGGCGUGCGGAACUUCCGGUGGAGCGGUGAAAUGCGUAGAUAUCGGAAGGAACGCCGGUGGCGAAAGCGGCGCGCUGGACCUCUUCUGACGCUGAGGCGCGAAAGCUAGGGGAGCAAACGGGG